rnacentral:rRNA from 1 species
CCUACGGGAGGCAGCAGUGAGGAAUAUUGGUCAAUGGGCGCUAGCCUGAACCAGCCAAGUAGCGUGAAGGAUGACUGCCCUAUGGGUUGUAAACUUCUUUUAUAUGGGAAUAAAGUGCAGUAUGUAUACUGCUUUGCAUGUACCUUAUGAAUAAGGAUCGGCUAACUCCGUGCCAGCAGCCGCGGUAAUACGGAGGAUCCGAGCGUUCUCCGGAUUUAUUGGGUUUAAAGGGAGCGUAGGGGGGUUGUUAAGUCAGUUGUGAAAGUUUGCGGCUCAACCGUACAAUUGCAGUUGAUACUGGCAGCCUUGAGUACAGUAGAGGUAGGCGGAAUUCGUGGUGUAGCGGUGAAAUGCUUAGAUAUCACGAAGAACCCCGAUUGCGAAGGCAGCCUGCUGGACUGUAACUGACGCUGAUGCUCGAAAGUGUGGGUAUCAAACAGGAUUAGAUACCCCAGUAGUC